rnacentral:lncRNA from 1 species
ACAAGUUUAGGUACUAAUAUUAUAUUUAACCCAAUUGAAAAUUGGCGGAUCUUUAAAAAUUAAAUUCCUCACUUUCAUAACCUUUACCAAAAGCGCCUAACCAACACGACGGAGUGCACCAAAUAUUCUAAUUGUCUAGAAACUGUUUAACAUGUCUUCAGGGACUACCUAACAACAAGACAAACAUGACAGGAAUUAAAUUUGCAAUGGUCUCAAGAAAGCUCAGAUUUAAACCAUCAAAACUAGAUGACUAGCCUCUAUGAACAAUUCCAAACAAGUGUACAAGAAAGUGACAUGUAGUCUGUGGGUUAGUUAGAUAACAAGAAACAAAUUCAUACACAAAUUAACGAUACUUGCAACCAAGGAGAUAGCAAAAAAAGUCAUGGCCUAUAUUGCGAAAAUAGAUAAGGUAAGUGCAAAAAUAUGUAACAGAAAAAUUUAUUGCAAAAGUUGGAAGGCUCAAGAACGAACAAUGGUAAAAAUAAAUUAUGACACUGUCUAUCAAGCCCAUUCACUAAAUUCAUGUACGAGGUUGGUGGCUAGAGACUUAAGCGAACAUGUGAUUGGAAUCCAAACAAUCAAAAAUGACUAUAUACCUUUGAUGUGUGCUAUCGAAGCUCUUGCAUGUAUCCAAGCUGUCAAUAUGGGAGCAGAGCUAAGGCUAAGAGAUCUGACCAUGAAAGGUAAUGCUC